UGAGACACGGUCCAGACUCCUACGGGAGGCAGCAGUAGGGAAUCUUCCGCAAUGGGCGAAAGCCUGACGGAGCAACGCCGCGUGAGUGAUGAAGGUCUUCGGAUCGUAAAACUCUGUUAUUAGGGAAGAACAUAUGUGUAAGUAACUGUGCACAUCUUGACGGUACCUAAUCAGAAAGCCACGGCUAACUACGUGCCAGCAGCCGCGGUAAUACGUAGGUGGCAAGCGUUAUCCGGAAUUAUUGGGCGUAAAGCGCGCGUAGGCGGUUUUUUAAGUCUGAUGUGAAAGCCCACGGCUCAACCGUGGAGGGUCAUUGGAAACUGGAAAACUUGAGUGCAGAAGAGGAAAGUGGAAUUCCAUGUGUAGCGGUGAAAUGCGCAGAGAUAUGGAGGAACACCAGUGGCGAAGGCGACUUUCUGGUCUGUAACUGACGCUGAUGUGCGAAAGCGUGGGGAUCAAACAGGAUUAGAUACCCUGGUAGUCCACGCCGUAAACGAUGAGUGCUAAGUGUUAGGGGGUUUCCGCCCCUUAGUGCUGCAGCUAACGCAUUAAGCACUCCGCCUGGGGAGUACGACCGCAAGGUGAAACUCAAAGGAAUUGACGGC
rnacentral:rRNA from 1 species